rnacentral:rRNA from 1 species
UACGUAGGGCGCAAGCGUUGUCCGGAUUUAUUGGGCGUAAAGAGCUCGUAGGCGGUUUGUCGCGUCUUCCGUGAAAACUCACAGCUCAACUGUGGGCGUGCGGGCGAUACGGGGCAGACUGGAGUACUGCAGGGGAGACUGGAAUUCCUGGUGUAGCGGUGGAAUGCGCAGAUAUCAGGAGGAACACCGGUGGCGAAGGCGGGUCUCGU